GGACCUACACAAGCGGUGGAUCACGUGGCUUAAUUCGACAAUAAGCGAGGAACCUUACCAGGGCUUGAAGUUCUACUGAAAGCUACUAGAAACAGUAGCCCACCGAAAGGACAGUAGACCAGGUGCUGCAUGGUUGUCGUCAGCAGGUGGCUUGAGUUGCUCCCUUAAAUGGGUUAACCUGCGCAACCCUUGCCCUAUGUUUUAAAUGUCAUAGGGGACUGCCCGGGACAACCGGGAGGAAGGUGAGGAUGACGCCAAAUCAGCAUGGCCUUUUGAUGCCCUGGGCUGCACACGUGAUACAAUGGAGCCGACAAUGAGUUGCCAAGCCGUAAGGCGGAGCCAAUCUUAUCAAACGGCCCCUCAGUUCGGAUUGAGGUCUGCAACCCGACCUCAUGAAGCCGGAAUCGCUAGUAACCGCAGAUCAGCCACGCUGCGGUGAAUAUGUCCCUGGGUCUU
rnacentral:rRNA from 1 species